rnacentral:rRNA from 1 species
GAUGAACGCUGGCGGCGUGCCUAAUACAUGCAAGUCGAGCGAACAGAUGAGGAGCUUGCUCCUCUGACGUUAUCGGCGGACGGGUGAGUAACACGUGGAUAACCUACCUAUAAGACUGGGAUAACUUCGGGAAACCGGAGCUAAUACCGGAUAAUAUAUUGAACCGCAUGGUUCAAUAGUGAAAGACGGUUUUGCUGUCACUUAUAGAUGGAUCCGCGCCGCAUUAGCUAGUUGGUAAGGUAAAGGCUUACCAAGGCAACGAUGCGUAGCCGACCCCAGAGGGUGAUCGGCCACACUGGAACUGAGACACGGUCCAGACUCCUACGGGAGGCAGCAGUAGGGAAUCUUCCGCAAUGGGCGAAAGCCUGACGGAGCAACGCCGCGUGAGUGAUGAAGGUCUUCGGAUCGUAAAACUCUGUUAUUAGGGAAGAACAAAUGUGUAAGUAACUAUGCACGUCUUGACGGUACCUAAUCAGAAAGCCACGGCUAACUACGUG